rnacentral:rRNA from 1 species
AUUGAACGCUGGCGGCAGGCCUAACACAUGCAAGUCGAGCGGAUGAAGGGAGCUUGCUCCUGGAUUCAGCGGCGGACGGGUGAGUAAUGCCUAGGAAUCUGCCUGGUAGUGGGGGAUAACGUCCGGAAACGGGCGCUAAUACCGCAUACGUCCUGAGGGAGAAAGUGGGGGAUCUUCGGACCUCACGCUAUCAGAUGAGCCUAGGUCGGAUUAGCUAGUUGGUGGGGUGAAGGCCUACCAAGGCGACGAUCCGUAACUGGUCUGAGAGGAUGAUCAGUCACACUGGAACUGAGACACGGUCCAGACUCCUACGGGGGGCAGCAGUGGGGAAUAUUGGACAAUGGGCGAAAGCCUGAUCCAGCCAUGCCGCGUGUGUGAAGAAGGUCUUCGGAUUGUAAAGCACUUUAAGUUGGGAGGAAGGGCAGUAAGUUAAUACCUUGCUGUUUUGACGUUACCAACAGAAUAAGCACCGGCUAACUUCGUG